rnacentral:rRNA from 1 species
UACGUAGGGGGCGAGCGUUGUCCGGAAUUAUUGGGCGUAAAGAGCUCGUAGGCGGUUCGGCAAGUCGGAAGUGAAAGCUCCAGGCUCAACCCGGGAACUGCGUCCGAUACUGGCAGGCUUGAAUCCGGGAGAGGGAUGCGGAAUUCCAGGUGUAGCGGUGAAAUGCGUAGAUAUCGAGAGGAACACCUGCGGCGAAGGCGGGUUGCUGGGCUGACACUGACGCUGAAGCGCGAAAGCUAGGGGAGCGAACGGG